UUGGGUCCAUCUUUUGAUACAAGUUUAUUUCGUAUGUGGCACAUGUAAAAAUAACCUCAUGCCUGCGAUUCCGGCCUUUUGAAAUACUAAAUAUUUUCAGGGCAAUGUUUUGCUUGAGCAUACCAUGAUUCUAAUGACUCUUAUCUUGGGUUGAUAUUUCUUUUUUAGGCCAUAUGAGGUAAUAGCAACUAGGACUCACAAGCGAAUUGCAAUAUGGCACCUUAGAUUCAACCCCAAUCUUGAUGGAAAGCUCUAAACGGAAAAGGUUUGGAAGAUGGAGUUGAACAUCAGUGGAAUGACACUAGCAACCACUGGAGGUGAUGGCGGGUGAGUUUGUGACAGUCUAACUUAAAAGGCGUUUGUCUACAUGCCACAGCGACAUGGAAGGAGAUGAAUCCGUGAAGCCUCUGAAACACAAAGACAAGAAAGAAUAGUGCUCCCACCUAAUGCCAUCAAGCAAUCUUAGCAAAAUAGACAUCAAGGCAAAUCUUUUGGUGUGAAUAAUUUGCAAGUUACCACUAUGUCAAUCUUAAAUGCAUAGGCAUCAUCUAGCAUAUGUACAAAUCUUUUGCUUUAGCUACUGAACUUUGAAAUUAUUCAAGUACUUGUAAAUUUUUAUAAAUCACUUUUGCGCA